rnacentral:lncRNA from 1 species
AUGAAUGAGUUUGUUAUUCUCUCUACAUAUUCAUGGUGUGUGUCCUUCAGAUGCAGUUCCUUGUUCUCACUGGCUGUUGAGUGGAAACAUCAUCCAGAGGACUUAGAGGUUUGCCGCAGCAGGCUGCAGCUGUUCAGCCUGGCAGGAGGAGCCAGCAGAGCUGACCUCAGAGGAGUCAGCCCACUGGUGAAGAUUGUGGAUCAAAUCCCACAUGGAGCCACAACAAGUGACAAGUUCCUCCCUUUCCUUUUACAUGACGCCUUAACAGGAAACAACAGGACAGUCCUCAUCUACUGUAUUAACCCUCAGGGUCUUCUAGAUGAUGAGACCCCGUCUGCCUUAGCUUUGGCUCAGAAAGUGAGAAGACUGAUAACUAAGCCCACUGUUGGUUGCUGGCACCCAAGAGCAUCUGAGCAAGAGAUCAGGGAUAACGUCAUGGAUCUACGAACUAUAAUGAUGUCAGAAGGGGGAGAUGAUGUUCACAACACUUACAGGCUGGCAGAGCUGAUCCAAAAUCUGCAGAUUGUAAAGGAGCAGUCAUGGGAGAAGAGGAGGGAAGAGUCAAAGAAGAUCAAAUUCAAAAUAAAGAAAUCCUUAAAUAGCAAUAAGCAGCUUUCAAGCGACCACAGCACCGAUUGCAACGAGAGUACAGACACAAUGAAAUCCUUACAGGAUCAGCUGAGACGGGAAGUGGAAGAACAUAUUAGAGAGGGUAAAGGGAGUGUAGGGAAAGUCCAGAACAGAGUGGCAAGAAUCCAGCAGCUGAAGGAGGCUGUCAGGGAGGAGGCACUCAAGUGCGGGGUUGCUGCAGAUAAAUCAGACUUCCGUCAACAAUCUCAGCUGGAGUACAACAUAGCACAGGAGCGGAGGAGGCAACUUAAGGAGGAUCAUGGGAGAUUAAUUCAGGAUGAGGUGGAGAAGAUGGAAAGAGAUUUGGCACAGGAACAGCUACUGACAGAAGGCCCCCAGAGAGAGCUGCUGAUACUGACCAGAGAGAGGCAGAUCCUGGUGCUGCAGAUAGAGGCCCUGCGCACUGAGGCCCAGCAGGCUGAGAGAGACCUGCAGGAUCAACAUCACAGGCACCAAAGAGAGCUGCAGUGUCUGAGGGAGGAGAGCCUGCAGGUCUUCAGAGAGUUUCGUCAGGUAAGCGAAGAACAGAGGAAAAUGUCAGAGGGCAGGUACAGAAGUAUACUGCUGGAGGCUGUGCAGGAUGCCAUCUACCUGUCUGCCCAGAACCAGCAGCUACAGGCGGACAACAAACAACUCCACAAAGCUCUGGGAGAGCUAAAGGACGUUCUAGCUGUGAGAGGUGAUCUUAAGGAGGAAAUGUUUUCCCAACAAAAAUGA